UACGGAGGGUGCAAGCGUUAAUCGGAUUUACUGGGCGUAAAGCGUGCGCAGGCGGCCCGUUAAGACAGGGGUGAAAGCCCUAUGCUCAACAUAGGGAUUGCCUUUGAUACUGAACGGCUAGAGUGAAGAUGGAGUGGGUGGAAUGUGUUGUGUAGCGGUGAAAUGCAUAGAUAUAACACAGAACACCGAUCGCGAAGGCAGCUCACUAAUUUUCAACUGACGCUCAUGCACGAAAGCGUGGGGAUCAAACAGG
rnacentral:rRNA from 1 species